CCCUUAGAGUUUGAUCCUGGCUCAGAACGAACGCUGGCGGCGUGCUUAACACAUGCAAGUCGAACGUGAUCCAGAGCUUGCUCUGGUGAAAGUGGCGCACGGGUGAGUAACGCGUGGAUAACCUGCCCUGGUAUCUGGGAUAACAUCUCGAAAGGGGUGCUAAUACCGGAUAAGCCCACGGACUCUUAGGGGUUUGCAGGAAAAGGAGGCCUCUAUUUAUAAGCUUCCGUAUCAUGAUGG
rnacentral:rRNA from 1 species